rnacentral:rRNA from 1 species
GUGCCAGACUCCUACGGGAGGCAGCAGUGAGGAAUAUUGGUCAAUGGCCGAGAGGCUGAACCAGCCAAGUCGCGUGAGGGAUGACGGCCCUACGGGUUGUAAACCUCUUUUGUCGGGGAGCAAAGAGAGUCACGUGUGGCUCAUUGAGAGUACCCGAAGAAAAAGCAUCGGCUAACUCCGUGCCAGCAGCCGCGGUAAUACGGAGGAUGCGAGCGUUAUCCGGAUUUAUUGGGUUUAAAGGGGGCGCAGGCGGAGGUGCAAGUCAGUGGUCAAAUUGCGGGGCUCAACCCCGUACUGCCGUUGAAACUGGCUGUCUUGAGAUGUCGAGAGGUAUGCGGAAUGCGCAGUGUAGCGGUGAAAUGCUUAGAUAUUGCGCAGAACUCCGAUUGCGAAGGCAGCAUACCGGCGCUCAACUGACGCUCAUGCACGAAAGUGUGGGUAUCGAACAGGAUUAGAUACCCGUGUAGC